GCCGCCGCCGGGCCCUCACGGAGCGGGCCGGGGCUCCGGUGGCCGCGGGAAGUGGCGGCGCUGCCUGCGCUGCUGUGGGAGCAGUGGGAUCGUUCCUGCACCGCCUGACCGAUCUGCACAGACCGCUGCCGCUACUGAGCGCGGCUGUUCCCUAUCGUUAUUGCUUUGAUGCUAGUUAGGAAGCUCUGGAGUACCCAUGAAAAGAAGAAUCUGUACUUCCCAAGAUAAUAUGGCCAGCCACUUCACAGUGAAACAAGGAAAAUCAAGGACUCCUGAAGCGGUGUCUUACUGAUGUAGAGUCUGACCAGAGUAUACCCAUCCUCUAUUGCCUGAAGGACCUGAGCUGUGAAACAUUCUCCAAACCAGCCUGCUAGACCUUGCAGUAACAAGGCAUACCUUCAGAUUUCCACUGUGUCCAAGCUAGAUUUGACCUGGUAUGAAUGCCGAGUGUCACAACCAACAGGCUGUUUGCUGGUUGUUUGGGGAUCAAACUCCUCCAAAGUACACUCAGGUAUUUUCACUCAUGGUGGAGCAGAUUUGACAAGUAAACGACUCAGUCUGCAACAGCAAACAGCCUUCCAAGGGGAAUCUCCUGGCAGGUGGUGGAUGGGUAUGACAUAACCAUAUCCCAAAUGUAUGUUCCUAACAACCAGACUACACAUUAAGCAAAUAGAACUUAUUCUCCUGCAGGUAGCUGUUAGAAAACACUGUUUUUAGUGCCAAUCUUAUGGCUGGGAUUUCUUAGCAGAGGCAUGGGAUUAAAUUAUAUUUUCUUAAGGUUUCUUCCUGGCCUUCUUAUGUAGCUUCCAGUCUGUAGGCUUUGUAUAUCCCACACUUCACUGGCUCCAAGGCAGCAUGUGAGAAACUCACAUUUCUGCACCUAGAAAAGGCAUCUUCAAAUUCUACAAAGCAUCACAGCAUGUAAAAAUGUGGUGAUGCCGUUUAUAGUACUCAAGCCUUCUGGGGGACCCAGGCGCAUGAAUAGUUUUCAUUCUUUAGGGAAAAUACCAUAAGGAUUCAGCUGUCCAGAACAGGUUUUCCAGUGUGGAAAAUGUGCAGGAAGGUGUCCAAGCUCCAAGUACGAUCAGAGUUUGAUGGUUUCUGGAUGGACCAUAAAGAAUAAGAGUUGCGUUUCAGUAUCUACCCUAUGCAGUCAGUGGGGAAAGGCCAUGGAUACCUCUAAAGAGCACACUGUCAGUGAUUUGUGUCUGAUCCUUCCCCUGUGGCAGUUCCAAGACUGGAAGCAACCUUUACAGUCAUCAAGCCUGUAUUUCACAUGGACACAGGACAUACAGAUCAAGGAUUAGGUUUUGUUGAAAGUAGGGAAGGCACUCCCUACAUUUCCAAAACAGUAUAAGAGAUCUGCCUUCUUGGAGCUGCAGCCUCUGCACAGCAUAUAACUACAUGCUAAAUAGAUUGGUUUUCCAAGACCAACAGCCUGACAGUAUUGGGUGCUUCAGCAGAGAAAUCUACAUGCCUGUUGCAUGGAAAUUAAAGGGGGAAAAUUAUUAUGGAUUUCAGUGGUUUGGGAUAUGACUGUCUCUAUUAAAACCUUUACUUAAAUAUACCCUUAACUGGUAGCAUGUAAGAAAUAAUUGAACAAGACAAUCCUGAGUAAUUCAUCAGUACCUCUAUUCUUUCCAGAGUUACACAUCAGCUAUUUACACAAUAUGAUUUGUUUUAAUUUUUUUAUUCAGCAUGUUUUAUGCAUUAGUAUCAGAAAAGCCUGUCUUUCUCUUGGCAAAUGUUGCUCCAAGUUGUCUAGCAGGGACAUGUAUUAUGUAAAUUUAUUUAUUCAGAAUGUAAUUUGCAUAAAUGAAAAAUG